GAUGAACGCUGGCGGCGUGCCUAAUACAUGCAAGUCGAGCGAAUGGAUUAAGAGCUUGCUCUUAUGAAGUUAGCGGCGGACGGGUGAGUAACACGUGGGUAACCUGCCCAUAAGACUGGGAUAACUCCGGGAAACCGGGGCUAAUACCGGAUAACAUUUUGAACCGCAUGGUUCGAAAUUGAAAGGCGGCUUCGGCUGUCACUUAUGGAUGGACCCGCGUCGCAUUAGCUAGUUGGUGAGGGAACGGCUCACCAAGGCAACGAUGCGUAGCCGACCUGAGAGGGGGAGCGGCCACACUGGGACUGAGACACGGCCCAGACUCCGACGGGAGGCAGCAGUAGGGAAUCUUCCGCAAUGGACGAAAGUCUGACGGAGCAACGCCGCGUGAGUGAUGAAGGCUUUCGGGUCGUAAAACUCUGUUGUUAGGGAAGAACAAGUGCUAGUUGAAUAAGCUGGCACCUUGACGGUACCUAACCAGAAAGCCACGGCUAACUACGUGCCAGCCGCCGCGGUAA
rnacentral:rRNA from 1 species